AACGAACGCUGGCGGCGUGCCUAACACAUGCAAGUCGAGCGGAGUCAGUAAGAGGAAGUUUUCGGAUGGAAUCUUAUUGAUUUAGCGGCGGACGGGUGAGUAACGCGUGAGCGACCAACCUUGCACAGGGGGAUAACGGACCGAAAGGUUCACUAAUACCGCAUGAGACCACGGUGUUGCAUGACACAGAGGUCAAAGGAGCAAUCCGGUGCAAGACGGGCUCGCGUCCGAUUAGGUAGUUGGAGGGGUAACGGCCCACCAAGCCUAUGAUCGGUAGCCGACCUGAGAGGGCGAUCGGCCACAUUGGAACUGAGAUACGGUCCAAACUCCUACGGGAGGCAGCAGUGGGGAAUAUUGGGCAAUGGGGGAAACCCUGACCCAGCAACGCCGCGUGAAGGAAGAAGGUUUUCGGAUUGUAAACUUCUGUCCUUGGUGAAGAGAAGAAGACGGUAGCCAAGGAGGAAGCCCCGGCUAACUACGUGCCAGCCGCCGCCGUAAGAC
rnacentral:rRNA from 1 species